rnacentral:rRNA from 1 species
GACGAACGCUGGCGGCGUGCUUAACACAUGCCAGUCGAACGGGAAGGCCCUGCUUUUGUGGGGUGCUCGAGUGGCGAACGGGUGAGUAACACGUGAGUAACCUGCCCUUGACUUUGGGAUAACUUCAGGAAACUGGGGCUAAUACCGGAUAGGAGCUCCUGCUGCAUGGUGGGGGUUGGAAAGUUUCGGCGGUUGGGGAUGGACUCGCGGCUUAUCAGCUUGUUGGUGGGGUAGUGGCUUACCAAGGCUUUGACGGGUGGCCGGCCUGAGAGGGUGACCGGCCACAUUGGGACUGAGAGACGGCCCAGACUCCUACGGGAGGCAGCAGUGGGGAAUAUUGCACAAUGGGCGGAAGCCUGAUGCAGCAACGCCGCGUGCGGGAUGACGGCCUUCGGGUUGUAAACCGCUUUCGCCUGUGACGAAGCGUGAGUGACGGUAAUGGGUAAAGAAGCACCGGCUAACUACGUG